rnacentral:lncRNA from 1 species
CUGGGAUUAACGGCAGCUCACUACUGGAGCAAUUAUCUCCUGGCAAAGCCAAAAAUCUCCCUUGUUCAGCAACUGUGAGGCUCUUGGUAUUCUCCCUUACACCUGUAAAAUGCCAGACAGCCUGAAGAAUUAAGCACUCUGGGUGUCGAAAGCAAUCUGAGAAUCACCUAAAACUUGUCCUAAUGGAGCUCUGGUCUGCAAGGGGCAAGAGUGUCAGGAAUCCAGUGCAAACCAAGGGACUGCAAGGAGGGCAAAGGCAGGACUCCUUUCCUGGGUGCUGGAGGGAGAAUUUCCCUGGAGCUGGCUACAAGAAGGAAUGUCUGUACAGCCAUAUCUGGUUCUUGAAUAGGUGCCAUAAUCUACUUGGGCUGCCUGAGGUCAACCUUGUUCUGGGCUCUCUGGCUCUCCUGACAGUCUGCUGGAUUUUGGGACCUUGGAGCAGCAUUCCUUGGGCUGUGGGAGAUGUGGGUGAACACAGAUGGCUCUGGGCUGUUGGAGGAGGAAGAAGAGGAUGCUCUGGUGUUUGUAUGGAAAGAGAAUAUGGCAAUGCCCCACAUGAGACCAGCUCCAAUAAAUGCAAAUUCUUUUGGUUUUGUUUUUUCCUUACAAAAGUACCAUAA